rnacentral:lncRNA from 1 species
GGCUGGAACACCAUUCCUCUAGGUGUCGACAUCGGUUUUCACCAGCUGCAUGCUAGCUAUUCCUGAUGUCUGUAAAGCGGGUAGAUCACUCUCAACACUCUUCCAUCUAUGAUCUCACUGUAUCCUUGCCAUGAUUGGGUGCUCUCCCAAUUUAACAAAUAUGUAAACACGGUCCCAGAGAGCCCAAGUGACUUGUCUAAAGUCACACAGCCAGGAGCUGAGCUGGGACAAUAAUCCAGACUGUGACUCUCAAGAACUACAUGUUGCCUCCAAAGUCCUCUGUCUCACAUGAACAUGAGAAAGCCGGGACAGGAGGGGCUUUCUGACACUCCAUGGAACCUUCUCAAGCAGACAGUGAGCAACACGUGUGUCUAUACCAUAUAGUCCAGCUUCAAUCAAUGGUCUCCUUGCUCCAGUUACUCAGUUGAGCUGCAGAAACUUCUGGUUGGUCUGUGAUUGAUGGAAAGGCCUGAUUCUGUGCAGAUGUAAUUCUUCUAAAAACAGGAGGUGCCCUCCAGGCACAAAUGUCUAGGAAACCAUGAAAAUAAAAAGGCAGCACUGAUUCCAAAGUCUUGUUGACCAAACUUUUAAGAUAGAAAUUUAAAAUUUAUCCAUUCUAGUAUAUUCUAAUGUUGCGUCUGGAAGGUCAAGGAACCAC